UGUAAGAAAAAAUGGUCGAACAGACCAAUAUUUUAAACUUCUACACCUAAAAUUUUUCUUAAUCCAACAUCGAGGUCGCAAUCUAUUUUAUCGAUAUGUUCUCUCUAAAAUUAUUACGCUGUUAUCCCUUAAGUAACUUAAUCUAAUAAUCACAAUUUAUGGAUCAUUUUCAUUAAUUAAUGUAAAAAAGUUUUAUAAAUUUUCCUAUCACCCCAAUAAAAUAUAAUAUAAAGCUUUAAAGGGUCUUCUCGUCCUUUAAUUGUAUUUAAGCUUUUUAACUUAAAAAUUAAAUUCUAUAACGAUUAAUAUGAGACAGUUAAUAUUUCAUUCAAUCAUUCAUUCCAGCUUCUAAUUAAGAAACUAUUGAUUAUGCUACCUUUGCACAGUCAAAAUACCGCGGCCUUUUUCAAUGGGCAGAUUAGACUUUAAAUU
rnacentral:rRNA from 1 species